GGCCUGUAUUUCCUCACUUAUGAAUACCUCAAGAACCUGCUGACUCCAGAGGGUCAAAGUGUGUCUGAACUGAGCACUCCAAAGAUCCUCUUGGCUGGGGGAGUGGCGGGAAUCCUGAACUGGACCAUUGCUCUACCUCCAGAUGUGCUCAAGUCCAACUUCCAGACAGCGGCGGAUGGGAAGUACAGUGGUCUGGUGGACGUGCUCAGGACUUUGCUGAAGGAGGAGGGGCCUAAAGCUCUGUAUAAAGGCUUCAACGCUGUUUUCCUGAGGGCCUUUCCUGCCAACGCUGCCUGUUUUCUUGGAUUUGAAGUGGCGUUAAAGGGUCUGAACUGGGCUGCUCCAAGCUGGUAGAUGCCACUGUGUGUGCACUCAACAC